rnacentral:rRNA from 1 species
UGGGAAGUAAAAAUCGUAACAAGGUCUCUGUUGGUGAUCGACGC